AUGUAAUUACAAGUGUGCUCCUGGUGGUCUUUAACUGAAGGGCACUGACUGGGUACUGGUGAAGUUCCCCGCAGGAACUGAGUCAGACCCCAUCUCAGGGCCCUGCAGAAGAUAGGUGCCUGCUCUAAGGCGUGGACCCUCGCGACAGCCCUGGCCCGUCUUGACGGGCGAGGGUUACUGUACUUGUCCCAACCGUACAGAUGAGAAAGCUCAGACUCAGGGCCAGCAACCCCGGUCCCAGCGGAGCGCCCGGCACGCGCCGACACUUCAGCACCAGUCGCGGUGGCCACCACUGUGCGCGGAGAUGGCUGCGACGCGUGCGCAGGGAAAUUUGUGCACAGAGAUAACACAGGGGAUAUGCCAUAUGAAGAUGAAGGCAGAAUUCUACAAGCCCAGGAAUGCCAAAGAUUGCCAGCAAACCACCAGAAGCUAGGAGAGAAGUGUGGAUUAGAUUCUUUCUCACAGCCCUCAGAAGGAACCAGCCCUGCCAAGAACUUGAUCUCAGACUUCUAGUCUCCAGAACUGUGAGACAGUGCAUUUUGUUCUGUAAGUCAGCCACAUGGUUUGUGGCACUUUGUUAUGGCAGCCCUAGGAGAUGAAGACAAUAUGCAACAUGGUAUGUCCAUUAUAGGACACUGUGGGCUAUAAAUGUGUUCUUUGGCCUGAAGAAAUAAAACUUGGUGGUCCAAGU
rnacentral:lncRNA from 10 species